GAUGAACGCUGGCUGUGUGCCUAAUACAUGCAUGUCGAGCGGAAGUAGCAAUACUUUAGCGGCGAAUGGGUGAGUAACACGUGCUUAAUCUACCUCUUAGAUUGGAAUACCUAAUGGAAACAUUGGUUAAUGCCGGAUACGCAUGGAGUCGCAUGACUCCGUUGUGAAAGGGGCCUUUAAAGCUCCACUAAGAGAUGAGGGUGCGGAACAUUAGCUAGUUGGUGAGGUAACGGCCCACCAAGGCUAUGAUGUUUAGCCGGGUCGAGAGACUGAACGGCCACAUUGGGACUGAGAUACGGCCCAAACUCCUACGGGAGGCAGCAGUAGGGAAUAUUCCACAAUGAGCGAAAGCUUGAUGGAGCGACACAGCGUGCACGAUGAAGGUCUUAUGGAUUGUAAAGUGCUGUUGCAAGGGAAGAAAAAGUAGUUGAGGAAAUGCUUCUACAUUGACGGUACCUUGUUAGAAAGCGAUGGCUAACUAUGUGCCAGCAGCCGCGGUAAUACAUAGGUCGCAAGCGUUAUCCGGAAUUAUUGGGCGUAAAGCGUUCGUAGGCUGUUUAUUAAGUCUGGAGUCAAAUCCCAGGGCUCAACCCUGGCUCGCUUUGGAUACUGGUAAACUAGAGUUGGAUAGAGGUAAGCGGAAUUCCAUGUGAAGCGGUGAAAUGCGCAGAUAUAUGGAAGAACACCAAAGGCGAAGGCAGCUUACUGGGUUUAUACUGACGCUGAGGAACGAAAGCGUGGGGAGCAAACAGG
rnacentral:rRNA from 1 species